UACGGAGGGUGCAAGCGUUGUCCGGAUUUAUUGGGUUUAAAGGGUGCGUAGGCGGCCCUGUAAGUCAGUGGUGAAAUACUGCAGCUUAACUGUAGCAUUGCCAUUGAUACUGUAGGGCUUGAGUACAGAUGAGGUAGGCGGAAUUGAUGGUGUAGCGGUGAAAUGCAUAGAUACCAUCAAGAACACCGAUUGCGAAGGCAGUUCACUAAGGUUGUAUUGACACUGAGGCACGAAAGCGUGGGGAUCAAACAGG
rnacentral:rRNA from 1 species